rnacentral:rRNA from 1 species
GAUGAACGCUGGCGGCGUGCCUAAUACAUGCAAGUCGAGCGAACAGACGAGGAGCUUGCUCCUCUGACGUUAGCGGCGGACGGGUGAGUAACACGUGGAUAACCUACCUAUAAGACUGGGAUAACUUCGGGAAACCGGAGCUAAUACCGGAUAAUAUAUUGAACCGCAUGGUUCAAUAGUGAAAGACGGUUUUGCUGUCACUUAUAGAUGGAUCCGCGCCGCAUUAGCUAGUUGGUAAGGUAACGGCUUACCAAGGCAACGAUGCGUAGCCGACCUGAGAGGGGGAUCGGCCACACUGGAACUGAGACACGGUCCAGACUCCUACGGGAUGCAGCAGUAGGGAAUCUUCCGCAAUGGGCGAAAGCCUGACGGAGCAACGCCGCGUGAGUGAUGAAGGUCUUCGGAUCGUAAAACUCUGUUAUUAGGGAAGAACAAAUGUGUAAGUAACUAUGCACGUCUUGACGGUACCUAAUCAGAAAGCCACGGCUAACUACGUG